UCUGAAAUAUCUGUUUUACCCUUAUAAAAGUUCACAUCACAAAUAAAAGAAGAAGCGAGCCACAAACGCUGAUACCGAAUUGCGCUAAAACAUGCGAUAUUUUAAAGUGUUAGAGCGUGUUGAGAUUUCACAUAUUUUAAAACAGUUUUUUCGACCAAUGGACGGACGAUACUAGUAUAUUACCAGUUGCCAACGAGUACGUGAUCGCCCAUGUGAUGCCUUUGGCCACGUUGACGAGCAGCGGUUCGAUGAUGGCGCCCACGAGUGGCGCUAACACUUUGCCGAUGAUUAAUAUCAGAUGGACGACCGACAGUUUCCCGUGAUGGCCAUGUUCCUUGUGCGCCGACUUCGUGGCCAUCCUGUAUAGCGGAAGGGCUUCUCUGAGCGUCGCUUGGAUCUGCUGCACAUUGUCCACCGACAGUGUUGACUGCACCGCUGACUCAGACGUCGGAACCUCGGGACGAGCGAGUGUGCAGCCGACGAACGCCAAUGCCACCAGCAAAGUGCACUUGAACGUGAUGGAUUUCUGUAGCAAAAUUUUAAUAUGAGAGUCUAUUAGAUUUUAACUUUUAAGUAUACAUAUAUAAUUAUAUAUGUAAAUCCAUAAUUGUAUUAUUACUAUUAUUAUUAUAAAACACACGUGUAAUAUUAGGUCUGUUCGUAAACAAAGUGAUGUGUAAUUUAUCGUUUAAAUAGGUAUGCAUUUAAAUGGUGUCAUUCAAAAGAAUGAAAAAAACUUAAAAAUGAUAACAAUAAAAAAUAAUAAAAAAAAUAUAAUAAUUGUUCUCCAAAAAAAAAAAGAUUUUGUAACUUCUUAAAAUUACGUAGAAGAAAUAUUUUCAAAAAAAUUAGUUUUCUGAAAUAAUUAAUAUUACGUCAAAUAAAUUACUCUCUAUAAAUUAAUUAUUAAAUUUUCAUUUAACAGUUAAGAAUGAAUUAUAAUUAUUAUUAUUUAGUAUAAUAUUAAGCAUAAAGAAGUUAAAUGGGUACUUUAGAACAUACAGUUUACUAUAUUAUGCGUCUGAAAGACUAAAACAACGCAUAUACCUAUGGGUUGAAAUGACCGUUUAUUAAUAUUCAUAAAUAAUAUAAUUUAUAAUUAACGUAUUUUGUUAUUUUUUACUUGUUAAUGUUUGUUGACAAAUAAACUACUAAAAUUCUUAA